rnacentral:rRNA from 1 species
GUAUGAAGAAGGUUUUCGGAUCGUAAAGUACUGUUGUUAGAGAAGAACAAGGAUAAGAGUAACUGCUUGUCCCUUGACGGUAUCUAACCAGAAAGCCACGGCUAACUACGUGCCAGCAGCCGCGGUAAUACGUAGGUGGCAAGCGUUGUCCGGAUUUAUUGGGCGUAAAGCGCGCGCAGGCGGUCUUUUAAGUCUGAUGUGAAAGCCCCCGGCUUAACCGGGGAGGGUCAUUGGAAACUGGAAGACUGGAGUGCAGAAGAGGAGAGUGGAAUUCCACGUGUAGCGGUGAAAUGCGUAGAUAUGUGGAGGAACACCAGUGGCGAAGGCGACUCUCUGGUCUGUAACUGACGCUGAGGCGCGAAAGCGUGGGGAGCAAACAGGAUUAGAUACCCUGGUAGUCCACGCCGUAAACGAUGAGUGCUAAGUGUUAGGGGGUUUCCGCCCCUUAGUGCUGCAGCUAACGCAUUAAGCACUCCGCCUGGGGAGUACGACCGCAAGGUUGAAACUCAAAGGAAUUGACGGGGGCCCGCACAAGCGG